rnacentral:rRNA from 1 species
UCGCGAAAACUUCACAAUGGGGGAAACCCCGAUGAGGGAAUUCCAAGUGCCAGCACAUUGUGUUGGCUGUUCUCUGGUCUAAAAAACCGGAGAAGUAAGGGCCGGGUAAGACGGGUGCCAGCCGNCCGCGGUAAUACCCGCGGCCCAAGUGGUGGUCGAUAUUAUUGAGCCUAAAACGUCCGUAGCCGGUCUUGUAAAUCCUUGGGUAAAUCGACCAGCUCAACUGUUCGAAGUCCGGGGAGACUGCAAGACUUGGGAUCGGGAGAGGUGAGAGGUACUUCUGGGGUAGGGUAAAAUCCUGUAAUCCUAGAAGGACCACCGGUGGCGAAGGCGUCUCACUAGAACGAAUCCGACGGUGAGGGACGAAGCCCUGGGGCGCAAACGGGAUUAGAAACCCUAGUA